CCUACGAGUGGCAGCAGUGAGGAAUAUUGGUCAAUGGGCGCAAGCCUGAACCAGCCAAGUCGCGUGAGGGAUGACGGUCCUAUGGAUUGUAAACCUCUUUUGUCGGGGAGCAAGGCCCGCCACGUGUGGCGGGAUGGAGAGUACCCGAAGAACAAGCAUCGGCUAACUCCGUGCCAGCAGCCGCGGUAAUACGGUGGGUGCGAGCGUUAUCCGGAUUUAGUGGGUUUAAAGGGUGCGUAGGCGGAAGGUUAAGUCAGCGGUCAAAUGUCGGUGCUCAACACCGGCCUGCCGUUGAAACUGGUCUUCUUGAGUGAGCGAGAAGUAUGCGGAAUGCGUGGUGUAGCGGUGAAAUGCAUAGAUAUCACGCAGAACUCCGAUUGCGAAGGCAGCAUACCGGCGCUCAACUGACGCUGAGGCACGAAAGCGUGGGGAUCGAACAGGAUUAGAUACCCGUGUAGUC
rnacentral:rRNA from 1 species